GAGUUUGAUCGUGGCUCAAGAUGAACGCUAGCGGCAGGCUUAAUACAUGCAAGUCGAGGGGCAUCAGCUUAUAGCAAUAUAGGGCUGGCGACCGGCAAACGGGUGCGGAACACGUACACAACCUUCCUUUAAGAGGGGGGAUAGCCCAUAGAAAUGUGGAUUAAUACCCCGUAAGAUAGUGGGAUGGCAUCAUACUACUAUUAUAGUUACGACGCUUGAAGAUGGGUGUGCGUCUGAUUAGGUAGUUGGCGGGGUAAAGGCCCACCAAGCCUUCGAUCAGUAGCUGAUGUGAGAGCACGAUCAGCCACACGGGCACUGAGACACGGGCCCGACUCCUACGGGAGGCAGCAGUAAGG
rnacentral:rRNA from 1 species